rnacentral:rRNA from 1 species
UUUGGUGGCGAUGGCGGAGGGGUUCCACGCGUACCCAUCCCGAACACGGCCGUUAAGCCCUCCAGCGCCGAUGGUACUUGGACCGAAGGGUCCUGGGAGAGUAGGACGCCGCCAAGC